rnacentral:lncRNA from 1 species
UUUUGAAUUGCCCAACAGUAAAAUUAUAGUAGACCAACAACAGUAUGAGGAAAAAAACCCACAAAAGUUUUUUAAAAGAUUUAGAUUAAUGGCGUAGCUUUUCCAAAAAUAAAUAUUUUCAUUUACAAUUAUACAACAUUUUUUUUUAGCAGUCUUGGUGAUAAAAAAAUCAUUUUAAUUCCCUGGCACUUAGGCAAGCAACAUUUGAUUGUCACAACUUACAAUUUUGAGAUGCUAAAAAAUAGUAUAUGGAUCAGUGACAUUUCUCCAUUGCAACAAUUGAUCCUAGUUCAGUUUUAUACAAUUUAGUGCAUUUCAAUACCACAUUCAUAAUUAACCUACCAAUUAAACAAAUCCUUCUGCAAGACAAAGUUAAUAAAGAAAUUAAUAAGUCAAAUAUAUUUUAAAAACCAAAAUCUGAGUGAUUUAGACCCUUAUAUGACUGAAGAACUGAACCCUGAUUUGUAAGAUAUGAUUUAUCUUGUUCCUAUUCCUCAUUGAUUUUCAUUUUUGAGGUCUCAAUUCCAAAGUGUUCAAUAUUUUCUUCCUGCUACGUGAGCAGUUGGUAAGGAUCAUACAUACCCCUUCUCUUUCCAAAUUGUGCAGAGAAAAAUAGUGAUUUAAAUUUUUCAUCUUCUUUCCAAUAACUGAAAGUUUAUAGUUGUGAAGUUUUUUUAAAAAAUAAAAAGUAUAUUCUUACAAAUGUAUAGUUAUAGAGAAGUACCUAACAUGGGACUUUAGGAAUAAAAAUGGCAUUUUUUCACCCCUUUGAGUCAUUAUGAUAAUUUUAACAGAUGAAAUUAUGAUUUGUGUCUCAUAUAUAAUGUGCCUAUAAUUCAAGUCAUAUGUCAUAGGGCUGAGAAAUUCAACAUUAUAUCCUUUUCUAAGUCUGAAAUGUCACAAGCUAAGGGAUGGUUUCUACAUCAUUUUACUGAAGAUGAAGCAUACAAUACACCCAAAUAUUUGCCACUAUGAGAGGUGGCAGAGUGAGGUGGUGAGAGAAGGGAAUGGAAAAUGCUUAACACCUGUUUCUAAAAUCCUUCAAAAAAAGGUCUAAUUCACAUGGUAAUAUUUGGAUCUAACUUCACACAUUCUUAUUAAUACUAAUUGGGUGCAUUAUCACAGAAAACCUUCCCCUAAAAAUGUUUUAGUUAUUUUUGGAAAUCCAGAAAGUGGAUUUAUAUACCAAGCUGGGCAGUUUUUAUGAAGCCUAGCUGGGUUGAAGAGAAGAAACUUUUAUUGGUCUCAAAUGGAAACACAAGAAUAUUUUUUUUAAAAAUUAUUAGCUUGUCAAUCCUUCAAUAUAGUUGGCAAGAAUAUGACCUAUGUAUAGACUUGUAAAUAUCUCUUGCACUUUGGUAUUGUUAUAUAACUUUUCAUCUAUUUUUGCAGUAUCUUCCAACUAGAUUACAAGUAUUUUAAAAGGAAAAGUCCAUGCUUUUCUUUCUCUCUACUCAAAUACCUUGUACAGUGCCUAGCACAAAGCAGGGAAGAUCUUAUUAAAUACAUAACUGAUAAGUCAUUUAAUUUUUCACACUAGCACUGUUGGCUUUAUUUGUUUUGAGGCUUUCUUGAAGUUUUCUUUCAGGAAAAGAGAGGCUUAAAAAGAUAGCAUUCUCAAUCUUCUAAAAGCCUUUCCUAUGGAAACAUUCUUUUUUCUAUAACAGUUAAGCUUAUAUUCCCACAAAAUCUCUCCAUUCACAUAUAAUGCCUCUAGUUCUUGCUAAUUAUAUAUGCAGCCAACAACAAAACAAAUCAUACAGAGAAUUAAAACAAAAUUUACAUUUGCUUGUGGUACCAACAACAAAAAUACAGUGUUUCACCAUGUAACUUGGAAAGCCUCUGAAAUUCAUCUGAGGUAAAUCCAAAUGGAACAGUUUUCAAAUACUACCACAAACAAACUGAGUACACAAUGACAUUAUGACAUCAUUGUGUAAAUAUAAUUUCCAUACACUUCAGCAUGGUAUAGCAAGAAAGACAUUAGGUUAAGACUUUGGCAAACUAGGAUUUGAAUUUGGUUUUAUGACUCACUUGUUAUGUGGCUGUGGGUGGGUAUUUCACCUUCCUGGGCCUUAGUUUCCUUACCUGUUGAAUGUGGAUUUGGACAAAAUUAUGUCUAUGACAAUAACAUUGUAUAACUGUGACCUUGUGAAGGUUAAAAAAAAUCAAGGUCAGGUAGGAAGAGAGAACUGCAGCAAGGGUCAUAGGAAACCUUUGAGAUGAGCUAGAGAAAAACAAAGGACAAAGAGGCCUGUGUUCUCUGAACUGGAACAUAUGUAAGCCACAGUGGCUAAACAAUGUACAAACAUCAAGAAUUACAUUGCUUAGAAGUAACUGUUAAGUAAACUCAAGGAUACCAGUCAAUUAUCUGAAUUUCAGAACACUCUGCUUUUUAGUCAGGGCAGUAGAUAUCUGGUUUAGCUAUAGAUGAUAAUAUAAGUUUAAUGAUACUUAGAAAAGCAUUUGUGCUCUGAUCAUCAGAGAGUAUGCCUGGGCCUGGAGUGGAAGCUCAGAGGUUUUUCAUAUUAAAGUCCUGAUUCUUACCUGAAACACUGAGCAUAAAAUUAUGGAAGAUCUGGAGAAAGCCUCCUGUAGAAUUGGGGUUCUUAACCUUUUUUGUGUCAUGGAUCUCUUCUCAGAAUGUUUUUAGUGUAUAAAAUAAAAUGAAAUACAUAAGAUUACAAAGGAAACUGAUUCUAUUGAAAUAGUUAUCAAAAU